rnacentral:rRNA from 1 species
GACGAACGCUGGCGGCGUGCUUAACACAUGCAAGUCGAACGGAAAGGCCCUGCUUUUGUGGGGUGCUCGAGUGGCGAACGGGUGAGUAACACGUGAGUAACCUGCCCUUGACUUUGGGAUAACUUCAGGAAACUGGGGCUAAUACCGGAUAGGAGCUCCUGCUGCAUGGUGGGGGUUGGAAAGUUUCGGCGGUUGGGGAUGGACUCGCGGCUGAUCAGCUUGUUGGUGGGGUAGUGGCUUACCAAGGCUUUGACGGGUAGCCGGCCUGAGAGGGUGACCGGCCACAUUGGGACUGAGAUACGGCCCAGACUCCUACGGGAGGAAGCAGUGGGGAAUAUUGCACAAUGGGCGGAAGCCUGAUGCAGCAACGCCGCGUGCGGGAUGACGGCCUUCGGGUUGUAAACCGCUUUCGCCUGUGACGAAGCGUGAGUGACGGUAAUGGGUAAAGAAGCACCGGCUAACUACGUG